GCGCCGGUGGUGCAAUCGCUGCCCGGAAAGCAGAAGAUGCGGGUUCGAGUCCCGCCUGGCGCA
rnacentral:tRNA from 1 species